rnacentral:lncRNA from 1 species
CUGUCACAGGCCGCACAGGUCUCUGACACCUGCCUUGUCCCUGUAGCUUCUUCUGCCCGGCCAACACCUCCUCUGUGCUGGGGAACCAGUGUCCUGCCGGCCACUACUGUCCUGCCUCCACUGCCUUUGCUUUCCAGUUCCCCUGCCCCCGCGGCACCUACAGGCCACAGAGAGGGGGCACCCAGUGGUCAGACUGCAGCCCCUGUGAGCCAGGCUUCUACUGUCCCUUGCCUGGCCUGGCAUCCGUAUCUGGACCUUGCAGCGCAGGGUUCUACUGCACUCAGGGAGCAUCUGUCCCAAAUCCCAGCGAUGGGACCACAGGAGACCUCUGUCCUCUGGGCCACUUCUGCCCCCAGGGCAGCCCCAGGCCCACUCCGUGCCCCCCGGGUGAGUCACUGGUGGAUGAGCACCAGCAGUGAGGGGUCUGCUCUGGGCCCAGGAGGGGAGCGGAGUGAAGACCAGCCUUGGGAGGCCUCGGGGAGGGUACGGAAGAUGCCCCACGUGGCACUUAAAAAACAUCGUUCGGGGCUCUGGAUCCACAUACCCGGGGCUUGUGUGUGGAGAGACUUAGAGCCCAGAUCCAGGGCUCUGAGGGAGGCCUGAACAGGGAGGGGGAUGACAGAGGCGCGGUGAGAGUGCAUGGUGCCAGCAGGGGAAGUGGACGAUGAGACACGGAGGUGCUGCACAGCGGGCACUGGUCUGGGAGGCCAAGUGGGCAGAGCAGAGCACGGCCCUGUAAUCCGAGACCGGCCAGCGCUAGUGUCCCUUCCAGAGGCCCCCCGGUGGUGGCCAUAGUGUUGAACCUGCAGGCUCUCUCCUGCCCAUCCCUGGGGCCACGUCAUGGAAGGACUGCCAGCCAUGCCCAGCCGGUUGGCUCUGCUCCCGGGCUGGCCUGAGCUCCCCGGACACUCCAUGCAAAGGAGGUUGGUUCUGCCCUGGGUCCUCCGUCUCUGGACACAGUCCAGGUAAGCUUGGGAAAGAGGUGCCGUGGGGUGCCCAGGGCCAGCCUGGAGGGGAGACAAGGCCUGUGGGCUCUCCCUCCAGGUAAGGGAGGCCACUGUUCACAGCUUGGGAACGGGGUGCUGUGGGGUCCCCUGUGGGCUGGCCUUGAGGGGAGACAAGGCCGGUGGGCUUUCCCCCUGCACUCGGGCUCCCAUAGCCUGGCAGUAGGGAGGUGGCCCUUGUGAUCUGGAGCCCUGCGACCUGUGGACACCUGGGGACACCGUGCACCGGACAGGCUCCCCAUGCACCCAAGCUCAAGAAGGGGGUAGGACCCAGCCUGCAUACUGCUUGGUGGUGACCUCCAUUCUUAGGCAGCCUCCCCACCAGCGUGGGGAGGACAGCCCAUGUGCAAGGCAUGGCCCGAGAGCAACAGCAUGGGAGGGGGCUCCUGACCAAGGAUGAGGCUCCUCUGACGCUGCAGUUCUCAGGAGGCACCCCCCAAACUGUCCGCAUCUGGAAGCUCUGGCAUAAAGACAGUUUCACCUCCAGAAUAUGGACACAGAGCACAGGCUUCCAGUCCCACCCCACUUCUUCCCACAGUUUGGCUCCCAAAUGAGCUUUUCACUGCAACUGGCAUCUCAUGCCCUCACCAGUCGAGGGUACUCAGGAAACCUACUCUGUGAGCCCAGGAGGGCUUACUACUGCUUGCCAGUGCUCCAUGUUUUGAGAGCACAGGGGUCUCCCAGGGCCUUAGUCCACACGGCAAUUCCCGCAAGAAGCUACAGUUUCAGGGACACCUCACAGGACUAGGACCGGGGAGCCCCUCAUGAGAAGUGAGUGCAGCCUGAGACUGCCCUGCACGCCGGCUCCAGCCCAGCCUGGAGCACUUGUCCUGCACCUGCUCGGCCAGGCCACUGCAGGCCCAACUCCUGCCCCACACGGCCCUUCCACACAGUGGACCAACCCUUCAGGUUCUUGGGGGACUGAGCUGUGAGGGUCCCGGGCCCCACAGAUCAUAUGCCCGCCUCCGCCUCACUGACUGGAGUCAGCUAAGGCUGCUCUGGGCUCUGGCUGGAAGGAGAUGGGGGCUCUCCUGAGAGGAAGUAACUGUCUUCCCCGGCUUUUCCAGGCAUUCUCUGCCCCACUGGGCACUCGUGUCCCCCAGGCAGCCUGGAGCCCCAGCUCUGCCCCCCGGGGCAAUAUCAGGACAAGCCUGGACAGAGUCUCUGCAAGACUUGCCCUGCUGGAAAGUGAGGCGCUGGGCUGGGCUGGGCUCCUCCUCUGUCUGGGUGACUCCUGACUUCUCCUGCCCCCACGCCCCAGGAGCCCCCACAUGUUGCAGGGACUGGUGGCCACGGGCACUCCGGGCCCCUGUCACCCUGUGAAAUCCAGCAUAAUAGACACUAACACCAGUGCAGGGGCGUGGAGGGCUGCAGGCUUCAAACAAGACUCUGAGAGAGGAGGACAUUUUUGCCUCAGUGCCCAUCUCCUCUGAACUCACAACUGCUUCUGCCCCAACCCUCCACAUCCCGAGAGCUCUGGGCAAGCCCCCUUCCUAGAAAGUCUGCGGCUAUAGAAGUCCUUGUUCCUUUGUUCCUGACCACCUCAUGUCCACAGGUUCUGUCCCUAUGGGAUCCAAGCUCCAGGAGCCAUGUCCCUUUGGCCAGUGGACUGUCCAGCCGGCUACUACUGCCCUUUGGGCACCCAGAGCCCCACCCAGCACCCUUGUCCCAGGGGCACCUUCAGGGAGAGGCCCGGUGCACGCAGCACUCAGGACUGCAGGCCCUGCCCUGCUGGACAGUUCUGCUCGGACUCAGGUGAUGAGCGCCAUUUCCCAGGGACUUUGAGGGUCCUAAAUGGUUCCA